AUUGAACGCUGGCGGCAGGCCUAACACAUGCAAGUCGAACGGAGUGGCGGACGGGUGAGUAAUGUCUGGGAAACUGCCUGAUGGAGGGGGAUAACUACUGGAAACGGUAGCUAAUACCGCAUACUCACAGAUUAGCCUAUGUCGGAGUAGCUAGUGGGUGGGGUAAAGGCCUACCAAGGCGACGAUCCGUCACUGGGCUGAGAGGAUGAUCGGUCACACUGGAACUGUGACACGGUCCAGACUCCUACGGGAGGGAGCAGUGGGGAAUAUUGGGCAAUUGGCGAAAGCCUGAUCCAGCCAUGCCGCGUGUGUGAAGAAGGUCUUCGGAUUGUAAAGCACUUUAAGUUGGGAGGCGGUACCAACAGAAUAAGCACCGGCUAACUUCGUGCCAGCAGCCGCGGUAAUUG
rnacentral:rRNA from 1 species